UGACAGUACCUGGUAAAGAAACCCCGGCUAACUCCGUGCCAGCAGCCGCGGUAAUACGGAGGGGGUUAGCGUUGUUCGGAAUUACUGGGCGUAAAGCGCGCGUAGGCGGACCAGAAAGUAUGGGGUGAAAUCCCGGGGCUCAACCCCGGAACUGCCUCAUAAACUCCUGGUCUUGAGUUCGAGAGAGGUGAGUGGAAUUCCAAGUGUAGAGGUGAAAUUCGUAGAUAUUCGGAGGAACACCAGAGGCGAAGGCGAUGCACUGGACCGGUACUGACGCUGAGGUGCGAAAGCGUGGGGAGCGAACAGGAUUAGAUACCCUGGCAGUCCACACCGUAAACGCUGUCUAC
rnacentral:rRNA from 1 species